rnacentral:rRNA from 1 species
GACGAACGCUGGCGGUGUGCUUAACACAUGCAAGUCGAACGGUAAGGCCCUUUCGGGGGUACACGAGUGGCGAACGGGUGAGUAACACGUGAGUAACCUGCCCUCAUCUCUGGGAUAACAGUCGGAAACGGUUGCUAAUACUGGAUAUGAGCUUGCAAGGCAUCUUGUGGGUUGGAAAGAUUUUUUUUGGUUGGGGAUGGACUCGCGGCCUAUCAGCUUGUUGGUGAGGUAGUGGCUCACCAAGGCUUCGACGGGUAGCCGGCCUGAGAGGGCGACCGGCCACAUUGGGACUGAGAUACGGCCCAAACUCCUACGGGAGGUAGCAGUGGGGAAUAUUGCACAAUGGACGGAAGUCUGAUGCAGCAACGCCGCGUGCGGGAUGACGGCCUUCGGGUUGUAAACCGCUUUCAAUUGUGACGAAGCUUUUUUGUGACGGUAGCAGUAGAAGAAGCACCGGCUAACUACGUG